rnacentral:lncRNA from 1 species
ACGGUUAGAUUAGGUGGUCACAACGAAAGCGACGGAUUUUCAAACACAUUUGAAUCAGAGUGAAGACUUCACGCGGAAGUUUCUAUGAAGCCUGAAAAGCUUCAUUCUUCACUCCGACGAAAAACACUCGCACAGAAAAUGGUUUUCGCCUAAGCUGAACAUGAAGAAUAGGUUUCACCUGAACCAGCUCCACACUUCAAACCCCCCUUAACAGUACGGAGUUCCUAUACUCAAGUGAACAAAAAACUACAGAAAGAUCUAUGAAGAAAGCUACGCUUCAUGUUCUUCACUGAGUUCUUCAUACUUGAAGCCAGUACCUGUACUUCAAUUUUUAGGGGUCGUCGAUGCUGGUUAAACCAACUAUUCUGAGGAACUAAAACCUGAAACACUCCGUGUAACUCAUUAGUUCCUCAACCAUGUUGUCAUCAUUCAUCAAAACCCAUACAAGGCCAAGGUUUCCCUUUCAAAAAGAAAUACGCCCUUUUUCAGUCCCGGAAAGUAUUCAAAGACACGAGUCCGACUCAUAUCAGUUCAAAGGAACAAGGAUGUUUCUUUAUUAAUAUUGCUCACAUUAGAGCAAGAACGAUACAAAAAAAAAGAGAAAAAUACAAAGAGGGCCCACCUCCUGGCUCGGCGCAGGAGUCGACGAUGGUUGAGCCACUCCUCCCUCAGAUGCCAUGCUCCCCAGCUGAGCCGACAGUUCUUCCCCG